AUGCAACACUUUGUGUAUUUCAAAGAUCCCUCAAAAACUACAGAGAUUAGCAUGGCCCCCGAGUAAGGAUGACACACAGUUCCUUGAAGCGUUCCAUAUUUUU